GUGCUGUCUUUGACAGCACAUACACUGAAAUUGAAAUGACACAGAGAAGACUAGCACGGCCAUGCACAAAGAUGAUACACAAAUUUGUGAACAUCGUUCUCCCUUAUUUU